rnacentral:rRNA from 1 species
UACAGAGGGGGCAAGCGUUAUUCGGAAUUACUGGGCGUAAAGGGCGCGUAGGCGGCUUGACAAGUCACUUGUGAAAUCUCCGGGCUUAACUCGGAACGGCCAAGUGAAACUGUCAUGCUAGAGUGCAGAAGGGGCAAUCGGAAUUCUUGGUGUAGCGGUGAAAUGCGUAGAUAUCGAGAGGAACACCUGCGGCGAAGGCGGGUUGCUGGGCUGACACUGACGCUGAAGCGCGAAAGCUAGGGGAGCGAACGGG